rnacentral:rRNA from 1 species
AAAGAAAGAUUAAUACCCGAUGGCAUAGUUCUUCCGCAUGGUAGAACUAUUAAAGAAUUUCGGUCAUCGAUGGGGAUGCGUUCCAUUAGGUUGUUGGCGGGGUAACGGCCCACCAAGCCUUCGAUGGAUAGGGGUUCUGAGAGGAAGGUCCCCCACAUUGGAACUGAGACACGGUCCAAACUCCUACGGGAGGCAGCAGUGAGGAAUAUUGGUCAAUGGACGAGAGUCUGAACCAGCCAAGUAGCGUGAAGGAUGACUGCCCUAUGGGUUGUAAACUUCUUUUAUACGGGAAUAAAGUGAGGCACGCGUGCCUUUUUGUAUGUACCGUAUGAAUAAGGAUCGGCUAACUCCGUGCCAGCAGCCGCGGUAAUACGGAGGAUCCGAGCGUUAUCCGGAUUUAUUGGGUUUAAAGGGAGCGUAGGCGGACGCUUAAGUCAGUUGUGAAAGUUUGCGGCUCAACCGUAAAAUUGCAGUUGAUACUGGGUGUCUUGAGUACAGUAGAGGCAGGCGGAAUUCGUGGUGUAGCGGUGAAAUGCUUAGAUAUCACGAAGAACUCCGAUUGCGAAGGCAGCCUGCUGGACUGUAACUGACGCUGAUGCUCGAAAGUGUGGGUAUCAAACAGGAUUAGAUACCCUGGUAGUCCACACAGUAAACGAUGAAUAC